AGGAGGAGGUGGAGAGUCCCCCGCCCGGCGCUGGAGAAAGAGGUAAGUUUAGCCCCUUCCACCCCCUAGAGCCCGGCGGGAGGGGGACCCUGAGGGUGGGGGCACCUUCAGGGCACUAUAGUGGUCCUUUAACUAAACAUGUUCAUUAUUUAUUUAUUUGCAAAUCUUUUUUUUUUUUAGUAAGGUAAAUUCACAAAAUAUACAUGCCAGUCCGAAUUGUUUAUGUUUUUCAAUAAUAUGUGUGUGUGUGUAGUGGAAGCAGUGAGGGUAUUUGAUUGUGCUGCGUGUGUGUGUGUGUGUAGUGGAUGCAGAGUUUGUGUAGUGUGUGUAUAGUGAAUGCAGUGAGUGUUUGUGUAGGGUGUAUAUAAUGAAUGCAGAGUGUGUUUGUGUAGUGUGUGUAUAGUGAAUGUAGCAUAAGGUGUGUGUAAUGUGAAUGCAGUGUGUGUGUUGUGUGCGUAAAGUGAAUGCAGCGUGUAUAUAUAAUGAAUGCUGUGUAUGAGUGUGUGUGUGUGUAGUGUAAAGUAAAUGCACUGUGUGUGUAUAGUGUGCGUAAAGUGAAUGCAGUGUGUGUGUAGUGUGCGUAAAGUGAAUGCAGCGUGUAUAUAAUGAAUGCUGUGUAUGAGUGUGUGUGUAGUGUAAAGUAAAUGCAGUGUGUUUAUUGUGUGCGUAAAGUGAAUGCAGUGUGUGUAGUGUGCGUAAAGUGAAUGCAGUGUGUAUAGUGAAUGCAGUGUGUUUGUGUAAUGUGUGUGUAUAUAAUGAAUGUAGCGUGUGUAAAGUGGAUGCACUGUGUGCGUGCAUAAAGUGAAUGCAGUGUGUGCAGUGUGUGUGUAUAUAUAUAAUGCAUGCAGAGUGUGUGUGUGGUGAAUGCAGUGUGUGUAUAGUGUGCUGGUAAAGUGAAUGCAGUGUGUGGGUGUGUAUGUGUAUAUAUAUAUAUAUAUAUAUAUAUAUAUAUAUAAAAUAUGAAUGCAGAAUGUGUGUGUAUAGUGAAUGCUGAGUGUUUGUGUAGUGUGUAUAUAAUGAAUGCAGAGUGUGUGUGUGUGUGGUGUGUGUAGUGAAUGCAAUGUGUGCGUAAAGUGAAUGUAGUGUGCAUAGUGAAUAGGGAGGGGGGCUAUGGCAUUCCCAAAUGGUCCGGUGGCAAGGAUUGUGCUGUGGGGGCCCACAGCAAGCUUUUACUUAACUUCCCAGAAGCUCUGUUCAGCUGCCCUGCUCUUAAGGCCGCGGGACUCCAGAGAUUCAGACAGGGGAGCUGCUGGGACGAUAAGUAAGAGCUUGCUGCGGGCCUUUCAUGCUUGUCAUGGGCCCGGCGGUCCUGGUCUGUAUUAUCUGCAAUAUUGGUCUCUCUAUAGGCAGAUACCGAUAUUGCCGAAAAUACCAAAUAUCGUCCAGACCGAUAAUCGGUCGAUCCCUAUUCUGUAGUGCAUGUGUAUCAAUACAUACUUCUUUUCAGUGUGACUCCUGGCUUAGCAUUGCUCUGUGGAGUCUACCACCUUAAAUACUUUGGGUAAAGCUCUGCUUAUCCAACCAAAGACCAUAUUGGCAAUCAGGAGCUAGUGAAUAUGUUCAUGGAUCCUGAAAUCAUGAGCCAAAGAUUUACUCUAUGAUGAGCUAACUCGUUCAAAUUGUGAAUUUCCAUAAUAGAGAAGUAGUACUUCUAACUAAAAAGAUGAUUAAAUUUGGCUGCCACCCCAAUGCAAGGGAAAGUCCUAUACACACAGACAGGGACGGACUGACAAUUCACAGGGCCCUUGGGAAACAGGAGAUCAAGGGCCCCUCUUCAAAGUGCAAGAUUUUUUUUUAUUGCCGCUACUUUUCUCCCCCUUCUUUGUGCAGCUCUCGCACAUAUUAUGACUAUAUCAUGACUACUACACCUGCAUGGCCCCCAAACAGGAUCAGAUUUACUUUUAAGGGGUUAAUGCAACCAAAAGUUUUAAUAAUACUGUUUCUAAAUAGA